AGGGCCAUAGCUCAGUGGCAGAGCACCUGCUUUGGAUACAGAAGGCCCCCUGUUCAAUCCCCAGCACCCCCAUGUUGGCCUGG